UUUGAUCAUGGCUCAGAACGAACGUUAGCGGCGCGCCUAACACAUGCAAGUCGAACGCGACUGGGGGCAACUCCAGUUGAGUGGCGCACGGGUGAGUAACACGUAGGUAAUCUCCCCCCGAGUGGUGGAUAACCCUCCGAAAGGAGAGCUAAUACAGCAUGAGACCACGGCUUCGAAAGGAGCUGAGGUCAAAGCGGAGGAUCGCAAGACUUCGCGCUUGGGGAUGAGCCUGCGGCCCAUCAUGGUAGUUGGCGGGGUAAUGGCCCACCAAGCCUUAGACGGGUAGCUGGUCUGAGAGGAUGAUCAGCCACACUGGAACUGAGACACGGUCCAGACUCCUACGGGAGGCAGCAGUGGGGAAUCUUGCGCAAUGGACGAAAGUCUGACGCAGCG
rnacentral:rRNA from 1 species